rnacentral:lncRNA from 1 species
GGAACUAAAUCCCAAUUCAAGAUCCUUAAAAACCAAUUCCACAAGUUUCAGAGGCUAUCCUUUUGUGAGUCAUUCAAUUUCUUCUAGCCCUAGAAGUUUAGCCAUACGUGUCCAUCAUUCAUUCUCAAUUGCAACACAUAGACACACAAUUCGAAUUUUGUUUGGGAGUUCUGUUUAGAUUUAUAUUGUCUGGCUUUAUUGGAGAUCAUUGAUCUCCCAAUUGUUGAUUACAGUGAAAUUUGGUUUCUG